GAGUUUGAUCAUGGCUCAGGAUGAACGCUGGCGGCGUGCCUAACACAUGCAAGUCGAGCGCGGUUGUGCUUAGUAUUGAGUGUUUUAUUGAUAUAAAACAUUGAAUUCUAUGCACAACUGAGCGGCGGACGGGUGAGUAACGCGUGGGUAACCUGCCCUAUACACAUGGAUAACAUACUGAAAAGUUUACUAAUACAUGAUAAAAUAGUUUUUCGGCAUCGAAGAAUUAUCAAAGUGUCAGCGGUAUAGGAUGGACCCGCGUCUGAUUAGCUAGUUGGUGAGAUAACUGCCCACCAAGGCGACGAUCAGUAGCCGACCUGAGAGGGUGAUCGGCCACAUUGGAACUGAGACACGGUCCAAACUCCUACGGGAGGCAGCAGUGGGGAAUAUUGCACAAUGGGCGCAAGCCUGAUGCAGCAACGCCGCGUGAACGAUGAAGGUCUUCGGAUCGUAAAGUUCUGUUGCAGGGGAAGAUAAUGACG
rnacentral:rRNA from 1 species